GACAGAGGUGCCGAGCGUUAGGCGGAAUCAUUGGGCGUAAAGCGCACGUAGGCGGUCCCAUAAGUCGGGUGUGAAAGCCCUCGGCUUAACCGAGGAAGUGCAUUCGAAACUGCGGGACUUGAGUACCGGAGAGGGUGACGGAAUUCCCGGUGUAGAGGUGAAAUUCGUAGAUAUCGGGAGGAACACCAGUGGCGAAGGCGGUCACCUGGACGGAUACUGACGCUGAGGUGCGAAAGCGUGGGGAGCAAACAGG
rnacentral:rRNA from 1 species